AUAUUAAUCAAAUUCAUAUAGUAGGCAUAUCAUAUAGCCUUUAACUUUCCAUAUGAAUCUAAUUAUUAGUGAAAUGCACAUUAUAUAGCUAAGUAUUAAAGUAUUUUAUAAAUUACCAAUUUUGGCUUACCCUACUACAGUAUGUUCUUCUUAGGUUAAAAAAUUAAUUUCUGUUGUGCUUAUACCAGAUAGCACUACUUAGUGCAGGCCCUAAAUACUGUUUUUUUCUAGUUUAUAAGUUUAUAAGGAAAAGCAUUAUCUCCAACUGAAACACCAAUCCAAUCAUCUUUAAUAUAUUUUUAAAGUUUUAUGUUUUUAAGAACUAUUUUGGAAGCACUUCUGUAGAUGCUGUUUAUUGCAGUCAAGAAGUCAGCUAUGAGCAGAACAGAGUAGCACAGCUUUUAGUUCUGUUGGUGAAUAUUAAUAAAUAGGGCAAGUUGGAAAGAAAGAGAUAAUAUAGCAGAGUAUUAGAGGGACAGCAGGCAUCUGGAAAGGAAAGUUAUCAGUUGCAAAUAAAAAGACAUUAUUGGAACAAAUAUACUAAAAACAUAAAUGAAAGUAUGGCAUAGAUUUGUUGAUCAAUUAUCCUUUCAAGAGCAUAGCUGAAAAUGUUUAGGUACUUUUCAUAUACACAAAAAAGAUAAUUAAGUAGAUAGGGUUUUUUUUUUUUUUUUUUUUUUUUUUUUUUUUUUUUUUUUUGCUUUUUUGACCAAAGUGUGCAGCACUUGAUAUGGGAUCUCAGUUCCCAGACCAAGGGCUGAACCUGGGCCACAGUGGUGAAAGUGCUGAAUACUAACCACUAGAUCAGCAGGGAACUCUCAGUAGAUAUUAUUUUUAAUAAACAAGUUUAGUGUGUUUCACAUGCUUUCAAUAUAUGUGACUCUGAGGGCAUGAGUUUUCUAGUAGCAUGUAGUAUAAACUUGUGAGUUAGAACUUAAUGGCUGAAACUAAAAACAUUAGCGAUUAAGAAAAUCACAGAUAGGAGUUCCCAUAAUGGCUCAGCAGGUUACGGACCCAACAUAGUCUCCGUGAGGAUGUGGUUUCCAUCCUUGGCUUUUGCUCAGUGGGUUAAGAAUCCCACGUUGCCAUAAGGUGCAUCGUAGUGCUCAGAAGCAGCUUGGAUCCAGUAUCGUGGUGGCUUUGGGGUAGUGAGGACUCAGCUGCAGCACCCAUUUGACCCCUACCCUGGGAACUUCAUUUGCCACAGGUGUGGCCAUAAAAAACAAAAAAAUCACAAGAUACUAAAGAAAAUGGAAAUAAAGUAAUGAAGAUAAACCUAAGUUAUGAAAAUAUCUACUUAAAAUUUUCUUUUCAACUUUAGUGACUUAAAAUACACAUGAUAGUUCCUUCUUCUGCAUAAUAGUUUUGUUGAAGGUUGCUGUAAUGAAACUUUAUAUCCCAAAUUUUAAGUAUGUUAGAACAAAUGUUAUUAUCUCAUGUUCUUAGUAGCAUUUCAGAUGUUAGAUUAAUCUUGGUUGGAGAAGUGAAAAGAAAAAAAAAAGGUUGUCUGCAGCAUCAAAGACUUUUUUUUUUUGUUUUGGGGGCCGAAACCACAGCACGUGGAAGUUCCCAGGCUAGGGGUCAAAUCAGAACUGUAGCUGCCAGCCUAUGCCACAGCCAAAGCAAUGCAAGAUCCAAGCUUCAUCUGCAAUCUACACCACAGCUCACCACAAUGUGGGAUCCUUAACCACUGAGUGAGGCAAUAGAUCGAACCCACAUCCUCCUGGAUACUAAUCAUUUUCAUUAAUACUAAGCCACAAGGGGACUCCUCGAAGCCUUCAAUUUGAUGCUUCAGCAUAACUGAAUUCUCCAAAAUACUGAUUAAAGUACUUUUAGGAUUCAGAAGCAAGGUAGCUAAGCCCUUGAUAUGUAAGCUGCAGGUAGCCCAGACUAAAAGACAAACCAUAAGUGGUUUGUGCUGAAUAACAGUACUUACUUUCUACUGUUCAGAACGUAUUUUAAAAACCAAAAUAAUAGUCAUUAUUUCCCACAAGUUUUGCCAGAAUUUUUAUUUCAUUCUUUUUUAAAAAAUAUUUUAAAUCCUUGUUUCCAUCAGUAAUUUUGAGGACCCCUGGGACCCUCAAAAUCCCCUGGGACCACUUCUUUUCCUUUCUGUUACUAGUGUUAUAGAAUUGUACUGCAGCUUAUUGAAUAGGAAUUUUGAUAAUACAGUAAAGGUACUGGUGACAAAAAUAAACAAAAUUGAAACUGAGUCUUCUUAUUGAAGGACUUUGAGAAAUACUGAAGUAGAAUUUCAGAACUCUGAGUAUACCAUUAAAGUUCCUUAAGAUAGCCCCAUUUAUUUCCAAAAUUACUACUACAGAGGAAGAAAUUUCCAAAAAUUGAGACUACUGUAUAGAGAGGACAGCCAUUUUCCUAAAAAAGGGAAAUAUAAGACCUAAGGAACAAUAAGUAUGAUAAUGGGAAGAAGGAAUUUCUAAAUUUGUUAUUAAAUUCACAUUUAAUGGAAAUUUCUUCUAACUUGUUGAAUUUCUCUUUUUUAGGAACACUGAUAAAUAUGUAGAGUAUGGAUAACUCAGUCAAAUGCCAAACUACUUUGGCUCUAGUAAUUAGGUCAUUUUCUUACCAUUGCUUCAACUUGGCCAUUUAAUGGUCAAAUUGUUAGUAGAGUCAAAGACCUGAUCUACAUUGUAUAUCAUGUCCUUGCUUCCUAUAUUAGGUACUAACUUAUCAAUACUAACAAAUGCACUACCUAUAACUUUCAAAUAGCAUCAGAUAAUUCAUGGCUAUAGUAGUGAAGCCAUUACCUCUUGAUAAAAAUCCUAAAACCCAUUCACACAUUGAGAAUAAGAAAGAAUAGAUAAACCAGUUAUGAAUAGAGGGAAAGGAAUCCUGGAUAAUCUUAUGUGAGUGUGAAUCCUUAUAAGCAACUAGAAUUCAACUUAGAAUUCCCUGUUAAAUAAACAUUCAGACAAAACCAAGAGAUUGAACUUUUUCUGUUGCAGUUUUGAGGAUAUGAACCCUAAUCUUGGUGUUUUCAGGGAAUCUACUUUGAAGUGGUUCCAAAGGAUCUCAAAUAUAAGGCAGUCUUGGGACUGGCCCCAGUAUGAGAGUAGAGUUUCAUAUAUUACUUCUCUGUGGAGCAUGGUUUUUCAGCAGAGAUGAUAUUAACUCUCAGGGGCAUGAACACUGGUGAAAGAUCUUGCUGGUUUUAUAUAUAAAGUACAGAAAUACAGUACGUAGAUAUGCAGUUAUUUGAAAAGUUCAUGUUGGAAGAGAUUAGGGGGAAAUGUGUGAAAAGCCCCUUGCAGGUAUGAGGGAAGGGAAUAAU
rnacentral:lncRNA from 1 species